rnacentral:rRNA from 1 species
AUUGAACGCUGGCGGCAGGCCUAACACAUGCAAGUCGAACGAGUGGCGGACGGGUGAGUAAUGUCUGGGAAACUGCCUGAUGGAGGGGGAUAACUACUGGAAACGGUAGCUAAUACCGCAUACCAUCAGAUGUGCCCAGAUGGGAUUAGGUUGUUGGUGGGGUAACGGCUCACCAAGGCGACGAUCCCUAGCUGGUUUGAGAGGAUGACACUCCCCCCUGGAACUGAGACACGGUCCAUAAUCCUCCUUUCUCCCUCCUUUCCCUCUAUUUCACCCUUUGCGCAAGCCUGAUCCAGCCAUGCCGCGUGUAUGAAUAUCUCCUUCCGUUUAUCACGUACUUUCAGCGGGGAGGCGUUACCCGCAGAAGAAGCACCGGCUAACUCCGUGCCAGCAGCCGCGGUAAUAC